GCGGGUGUAAUUCAGUGGCAGAAUGGCAGCUUCCCAAGCUGUAUAUGGCGGUUCGAUUCCGCUCACCCGCUCUA
rnacentral:tRNA from 1 species